AGAAGACCCUGUGGAACUUAAAAAUCAGCAGCCACCCUACACAAACUCAAGCCCAUCAGGCCCACCACCACCAGAUACUGGCCCACAUUUUUCAGUUGGGGCGACCUUGGAGAAAAACAAACCUUCCAAAAACAAGACCUCCCCUCUUAACUAAGAGCACCCCUCAAAGUACCAACAGUGACCAGACCCAAUACAAUUCACCAAUGGACCAAGCUACCCCAGGGACAACAGCUCAAUCCCCUUCAAAAGCCCAUAUUGACAAGGGGGUUUAUGACCUCAAUGUUGGAUCAGGACAUCCUAAUGGUGCAGCAGCUAUUAAGGGUUCAUUUGUUCAACGAUUAACAGUCCCACGUGAUCUGAGUUUAGACCGGAGCAAUCCCCCUUAGCCU
rnacentral:ncRNA from 1 species